rnacentral:rRNA from 1 species
AACGAACGCUGGCGGCAGGCCUAACACAUGCAAGUCGAAGGAGAAGCCACCUUCGGGUGGUGGAAACUGGCGCACGGGUGAGUAACGCGUGGGAAUCUGCCUCGGGGUGGGGAAUAACCGCUGGAAACGGCGGCUAAUACCGCAUACGCCCUACGGGGGAAAGCUCCGGCGCCCUGAGAGGAGCCCGCGUUGGAUUAGCUUGUUGGUGGGGUAAUGGCCCACCAAGGCUACGAUCUAUAGCUGGUCUGAGAGGAUGAUCAGCCACACUGGGACUGAGACACGGCCCAGACUCCUACGGGAGGCAGCAGUGGGGAAUAUUGGACAAUGGGCGCAAGCCUGAUCCAGCCAUGCCGCGUGAGUGAAGAGGGCCUUAGGGUUGUAAAGCUCUUUCACCUGCGAAGAUGAUGACGGUAGCAGGAGAAGAAGCCCCGGCUAACUCCGUG